UUCAGAUUUAAUUUGAUUUCAUUUAUCAUAUAUUGAUAUAAUAGUUGACUGUUGCAUCCAGGCUUUUGACUUUGUAAUAUUCACCAGGUAAGUGUGUUGUUUACUUGUUUAUAACUUGGAAUUUACACAUUCAUAAUGGAAUUCACUCAGGAUCAAUUAGGAGUACUUGGUGCUGUCUUCAGAUACGGGAUUUAAUCCAGGUGAUGAGGUGAGUGGGGCAACUGUAAAGGAAUGGAUUAAGACAAAGGCUAUUAAAGUGGAUCCUGAUGUACAGCCGGCACCUGCCCAUACUGUGACAUUUAAUCCUGCGGUGAGGAUUUCAGUUUUUUCAGGGGAGGAAAAGGACACUUAUGAUGUGUGGCAAUAUGAGGUGGGGUCCUUGCUUGUAAAACAUGGAGAGGAAGUGGUGGCCACAGCAUAAAGGAGGUCAUUGAAGGGUAGAGCCAGCAAGGUAGUGAUGAAUGUGGGACCUAACGCAAGUGUCAGGGAGAUUGUUGCCAAGAUGGACAGCAUAUUUGGAGCAGUUGAGAAAGGGGAAAACUUGUUAGCAAAAUUCUUCAGUGCUCGUCAGAAGGAGGGAGAGGAUGUGUCUACAUGGAGUUGCAGGCUUGAGGAUAUUAUGAAUAAGGCAGUACAACAAGGAGAUGUCCCAGAUCGGAAUGCAGAGGGAAUGCUACGUACAAUGUUCUGGUCUGGGUUGAGACGAGAAAUCAAAGAUGUUACUGGUCAAAAGUAUGAUACUGUCAGACCGUUUGAUGAGCUGAGAAUUGCAGUACACUAAGUAGAAUGGGAUUUGAUGCAGCGGGAAGAGGUGACAACUCCAGGUAAGGUAGCUGAUAAGGUCAAACCUGUUGUGCAUAUGGCUGCAGCUGAAAGAGAUGAAGGGACUUAUCCAGCAAUUGACAACAGAUAUGGCAGAUAUGAAGAAAACCCAAUAAAAGUCUACAGCAAAGCAGAGUGGAGCUAAAGCAGACAAGGGUAAAGGUUCUCAUGGUAAACGGAAGAAAGGGCCACAGUCCUGGUAUCAGUCCAAUUAUACUCAUGGCCAGCAGCAGGCGAGCUUUCAGCCACAGCAGCUAAACCCAGUUCAACCACAGCAUCUCCAGGCCUAGCAACGAGGCAAUCCUCCACCACCACAGUAUCGAGGAAAUGAGCCCCAAUGCUCUGCCCUGGAACCACACCCCUCGCCUGGGCUUAACAUUUUUGUUGGCCUAGCUACGCCCCUGGUAAUAAAAUGUGCUAAAAAUAAACUGUGAUAUUACACUUCAUUGAAAUAUUUCUGAUGUUAUGUAAUUAUUGUGUACAUAUAAUAUUAAACUCUAAUUAAAUUUUUAUUAUUAGCACAGUUGAUGGUUCACAUUCAUAUUUAGCACACAGUUAUUUGCUGUAACUUAUCAAUAGUCACUAGUUGAUGAAUUUAGAUUGUCCAUUCCUGAUUGAUAAGUUAGCACAGGGGCCUGGUUCCUCGAAUGACACAUGUAUCUAGAUCUCCUAAUGCAAAGUUGGCCUCGAUGCUUUAUGUAAGUUCCUUCUGUCUGAGUUGGUGACUUAUUUGCAUUUUGUUCACAGAAACCAGUCUCUUGAUUACUGUUGAACCAGAUGUGAUUUCUGAACCUACAGAUCUCAGCCAAAGGAUGACAUAUUGGCAGAUAAAAUCAGUCAUACUGCACUCUCAGAUCAAGGGGAAUAAAUCUGUAUUAAUUGAGAUCAUGGACCCCAUAUGAUAGCCACAGACUUGACACAAAUGCAGCAAAAACAGCUCAGCAUGUGAGCACAACUGGAGGAGUACAAAUGUAAAACACCUGGAACAUGUUCAUAGACUUCUACAGAUUGAGUGUAGGAUAGAGCUUAUGAUAUAUAUUCUUGAACGACCUGACCAAGGACCAGCUUGGAGAAUUCCAGCUCAUGGACACGAAAAGUUUCCUAAAACAGAACAUUAAUUGUACCACAGUUGCAGUAACAGGCUGAGGACGCCUCCACUCCCCAAAGACUGGGUUCACCAAGAACAACACAAACAAUACUUGGACACAGCAAACUUCCUAAAACAGACCAACAUUCUACCACAGCUGCUGUCUGUCACAGGUCAUGGCUGAAGGUAUCUGCCCAAAGACUGGGUUCACUUAAUUAGGAAUAACACAAACAAUACUCGGAUAACACCCCUUCAGGCUACAGUGUCCAGUCUACAUAUGUUUGCAUCUUCAAGAGGAGCCUGAACGACAAUAUGGCAAAAAGCUAGCAAGUCCAAAAGUCAAAGACAAAAUGAAGUGAACUGAAAAGAUACUAAUUAUUAUAAGGACUGAUAUAUAAAAACUGAAAAAAAAGAAGAAAAAGAAGUAGCUGACUUGUCAAAUUAAUGUUGAUGAUAUAGAAAUAAAAUAAUGUGUCUUGAAGACUUGGAAGUGUGUGUGAAUAUAUCAAUGAAACAUUUAAUUCUGUGACCAUCAUAUUCAUUUGAUUAUGUUAACAAAAGUUUUGACCAUUUGUUUAUCAUUUUUUUUUAAUUUUUGUAUAGAGUUCAGAAAACUUCUACUACAAUCUGAAAAUCUUUGAAACUGAGGUUUAAUAAUUAAUAACUUUGGGUACAUAUAAUUAUAUGAAGCUGUGUUGCCUUGAAAAGAAUCACGAUUUAGCUAUUUUUGCAGUUUCUUUCAGUAUUUGAUUCUUGUUGAUCUAGUCUGUAGAUCUAGACCUUUUUUGAUCUUUCUAAUUUUCUAUCAAACUUUGUACACUUUAUUAUGACAUGUAAUUGCACAUUUUAUUGGCAUAUUAAUUGAGAUGUGAAUGGAAGUGUAAUCAUUUUCAUGGUUUUUGCUUUUAAGCAUCCAACAAGUGUGUGUUUGAUUCAUAAUAAAUCAUUUUCAAUUGAAA